UACGGAGGGUGCGAGCGUUGUCCGGAAUCACUGGGCGUAAAGGGCGCGUAGGUGGCGCGGCAAGUCAACGGUGAAAGCUCGACGCUCAACGUCGAGUCGGCCGUCGAUACUGCUGGGCUUGAGCACUGUAGAGGCAGAUGGAAUUCCGGGUGUAGCGGUGGAAUGCGUAGAGAUCCGGAAGAACACCGGUGGCGAAGGCGGUCUGCUGGGCAGUAGCUGACACUGAGGCACGAAAGCGUGGGGAGCAAACAGG
rnacentral:rRNA from 1 species